UACGUAGGUGACAAGCGUUGUCCGGAUUUACUGGGCGUAAAGAGCGCGCAGGCGGUCGUUCAAGUCGAGUGUGAAAGCCCCCGGCUCAACUGGGGAGGGUCAUUCGAUACUGAUCGACUCGAAGGCAGGAGAGGGUAGUGGAAUUCCCGGUGUAGUGGUGAAAUGCGUAGAUAUCGGGAGGAACACCAGUGGCGAAGGCGACUACCUGGCCUGUUCUUGACGCUGAGGCGCGAAAGCAUGGGGAGCGAACAGG
rnacentral:rRNA from 1 species